UUAAAUUGAAGAGUUUGAUCAUGGCUCAGAUUGAACGCUGGCGGCAGGCCUAACACAUGCAAGUCGAGCGGAAACGAGUUAUCAGAACCUUCGGGGAACGAUAAUGGCGUCGAGCGGCGGACGGGUGAGUAAUGCCUAGGAAAUUGCCCUGAUGUGGGGGAUAACC
rnacentral:rRNA from 1 species